AGGAUAAUAGUUAAAUAUAACAUUUAAUUUGCAUUUAAAAAUUAUUGAUUUUUUCAAUUUAUCUUA
rnacentral:tRNA from 1 species